GGUAGUUGAUUCUUUAGAAGUGUUUGGAGCAACCAAAAUUCAAGUGAGAACACGAUACUUCACUGGUGUGUCCAUACAUAUGUCUAUAUAUACGGUGAAACUCUCAAGUGAGUAUGAAUCAAAUGAAUGAUGCCCCAAGAGCUCAGGUGCAUUUCAAAAUGUUCUAUUCCUCCCACAUUCAGCCAACUGGAGUACCCUGCUCUCCCUUCUAGAGGUUCUACAGUUCAAUCCCUAUUUUACGAAUCAGGUGCUUGCAUUCUAUUGUAUCAAGAUGUGUAAAUAGUUAGUAAGUUGUCUAGCUCACGAAAGUCUACAUGGAAUGAGUUCUGUAGUUCUCAUAUAUUUUUUACUAAAGGAAAAAUGAAUUUACUUGGACAAGGGUGGAUGAAAUAUCAAUUGGGAUUAGUAUGGUGUAUUUUUACUUGGUGUGUCCAUGCGUAUGUUUGUUACUGAUCAUACCUAUAUAUAUCUUCUAGAACUGAUGGUGAGUUGUAUGUUACUCUGUGUUGUGUACAAUGGAUUCUUCCUUGCCUAUUUUCCCUGUCAUGACAAGGCUUCCAUAGCGUAUCUCCCAUAGCAACGGACGGGCGAAGGAGGCGGUUGUCACCGACGGCGGGGCCAGAUGUGUCGGACGCGCGCCACUCGCCUGCAGUCAACGCAGACAUACAUAGCGACCGUCCAUGGCGGCGAGCGGCUCCGGGGGGUGGCGACGGGGUUGGGUGGUUCAAGCGGCCACUUCUGCAGCUACAUGGGAUUUCUUCAGGACCAUCAGCAGGUACGGGAUUUCUUCAGGACGAUGACUCAGACCAUAUCUGCAUGCAGAGAACACAUAUGAACUACUCCUGAGAUUGUGACUGAGCUACAUGGUAAUUUACUGUUAAAUUAUAAUGUUGGGGGAUUGUGCAAUGCGACUGAAUGAAAACUGGCAGUGAAUGGAUAUUUACCUUAUAAAGGAUGCUGGGGUGCUAGUCGCAACUGCUGGCUCCACGUCCUCUAUGAAUAGUGUCGCAUGAAAAAAAAUAGCAAGCAGCGAGAUAAGAAGGGCCGAAGGGAGCGGGCAGCGAGAGAGACCUAGCCCGCGUCUCCCCCACGACCCUUGUUCCUCUUGCCGCCGCCGCCACCGCUGCCCACGAUGGAGCCUACGCCCACCCCUCUCUCGCUCGAUUCCUCACCUCUCCUCGCUCGAUUCCUCGUCUCUCCUCGCUCAAGUCCUCUCUCUCUCCCUUUCCUGACACCACCGCCCUCCCGUCCAGUGAGGGGUCCGUAGACGUCGUCUUUCUGGACGCCGACUUCGCCCAGCCGGCUGGACGCUGCCUCGGCGACGAGGGCCCCGUAGAUGUCGCCAACUUUGCCCAGCAGGCCUUCCACCAUGUCGUCUCCUUCGGCGCUAUGAGGUUCGUCCGCUUACCUGUCUGAUGUGAUCUUGGAGGAAGAAGACACGAUUUUAGUUUGAUUCGACUUUGGUUCAUGCAGCCAGGGGCGUGUUUCCGGUUCAAGGUGUCAUGGAUAGCCAACAGGAUGGGGGACCAGGGCGGUGACGUCAAGCUCCUACUGUGGAGUCCUAGGGCUGUACGCCAGCAACAAUAUUUCUCCUCCCCUCAACCCCCACGAACUAUCUAUUCUGUUUCUACAAUUUCAAUGGCUUAGUUUCAUGUGUCAGAUCGUUGUUGCCCAAUUUAUACCAGUCUGAUUACAGUAGACCAUCUAUGCAGUACGGCACCUAUAGGCUUUCCAAUUCUGGUCUUCCUACUAUAAUUAUAUUUGAUGUAAUGUAUGAGAGGCAUUAUUUAAGAAGAUCAACACGCGUCAAGUUUGGUAAUUACCUGCGGUCACCUAUGCCAAACAUAAUUAAAUUUACUGCUUGCUAAAUCCAUCAAUGGCAGUUCUUUACCAUUAGUUUGUUUCAUAAUUUGAACUAUUCCCCAUGAAACGAUGCCCAUUAUACAAAUGCAAUUCCCACACCACAUAAACCAUGUGGUGUGCUCUUUUUGUAUUCAUUGGUUGGGACAGCUGCGGGGCUGACGGCGGCAUUCGGGGUUUGAGAUGGCACAAGAUGAAGAGCUCCUUUUGCCAUUCUCUCUGCAAAGAUAUAUGCUAGAUUAGUUGAUCCAGGGCUGAAGUUGUAUACCAAAAUAAUGCUGAGAAAUUUAAAGGUGAAAAUUAGCAAGCAAGCUACAGUCGGUGCAUGGAUGACCAACUUUACUUGUUACUUUAUGAAGAUGAUGAUUCCUAAAUAGAAUUACGAGCUAGGUCCUGCAUGUUGAUCGUGCUUCAAGGGUAGAAGAGGAUGGGAGGAGGGGGCGCGUGCUCCAUAUUUUGUUAUGCACACCUUCCUAAACUAUACUUUUCUUCUUAACAUAUGUUCAUUGUCCAGUAGAAGCUGUAGAUUUCAGCGUACAAUAAUUUCCAAAAUGGUAGAAGGAUGCUUGGUCAAGAAUGCAGGGUGAGCAAAAGAAAACUAUGAACGCUUUUAUCUCUCUGGCCAUCUAGAGCAUAUGGAGGGAGCAAGAUAGCGGGCUCUGUGUCUUCACACCGCCCCAGAGGGGGUGCCACUGAGGGCUUUCUCAUGGAAUGCGGUGCAAUGUGUUUUUAUGCACGCCUAUGAGCAGGCUACCCUGCACGCUGAUCUUCUACUACUUUCCCAGGCCUAUUACUUCCCCCUGAGAUGCUUCCAAGGGUUCUAUUCGGCUCCAUUGUAUUUUUCUUUCUUUUUUGAUUGCUUUUUCUUCUCUGUUUCUUUUUUUAUAUGCAAGGCCAUAAAUGUUUACCAUGCAUCCUUGCUCACACAGAAAAUUACUUCAAUAUACACAUGCUUCUAAAAAUGCACAUCCUUUUCGAAACUAUGUAUAUUUAUUAUCAAAGGUUAUAAGGCAGAAUGUGUUUGCCCAUGACUAAAACAAGUAAUACAUUGUACUUUUUUCAAAGCACACGUGGAAUUAGCGGGCUCCUUUAGGUAUUUCAAGGGAAAAACAGAAUUUGUUUAACUAAUUUUCUAUAUUGCUUAUUUAUGCAUUUGUGACCGUAGCUUUCCACUUUAGCUCAUAAACUGGAUGGCAAAAUAGAGUUUGCCCAUUUCAUAUCUAUGUUGUCUUAUUAGGAAAAUACAUUUUGUUUUAUAGCUGAUGCUUAAUAUGUUUUAUCGACCGGUGAAUGCCCAACUUUAGCUCAUAGACUGGAUGGCAAAUGCUAAUCUGAUGGGGCUUUUGCCACUUUUUGUUUUAUGAUUGUCUAGACAGCUGAUGGCAUGCUUCUUUCUUGCGAAUUGUCAAUUCUUUUGUACAGGGUCCCUCAGCUACUUAUGUUGCUAGACAAUGAGAGUAUAUAGAUAGCAUGUAUGGUUUCUACAUUGUUUUGCGCAUGUUGAGAUGCAUCACAUGAUGUUUUCCUUUUACAUUUAUGAGUAUUACAGAGUCCUUUCUUUUUCCACAAGGGGUAGUAGCCGUGCCAUUUGAUUCGAAGGACAAAGAGUUGAUCACAAGGGGUAGCAUUCAGGAUAUAUACACAAGAGUAUAGAAACAAGUUAUAUGAUGCAAUUGACCACUAUUUCUAUUAACUUCUCCUGUACACAAUGUUCACGAGUUAAUAUAUUAAGUACAUUUUAUUGUGUCACUUGUGUUUACUCUUUUUUUAAUGCAAGUUUACAGCUACUUGGAGUUCCUAAUUGUAGACUCAACUAUCUUGACCUACCAAUGUACUCAAAUAUAUGGUUAUUGAAAAAAUGCAAAUAUUUUCAACACGAACAUGGUUUUAAACGGGUCUUUGCGCCAUUUGGCGCAACUGGUCAUCUAGUGCACUUAAAAGACUGUAAAAGCUGAGUGUCAGCAUCAAUGUAGAUGUCCGGGAGUGAUUUAGUAGGAUGUCGAACCUAAACUACAGAAAACAUGCAUCUGAUGGAGAAGUGUUGUUCUGAAAAAUGGGUUCAUAGCUUCAUAUGUUAAACUGAAAGCAUGCAUAUUUGAAUCUGAAAAAUGGGUUCAUAAAUUCAUAUAAAAAACUGGAGGUUUUUUAAUUCAGAAUCUGAAGUUUGUCCCGCAUUGCAUCAUCAAGUAAAAGACUGUAGUUUGUAUUCCUCAUGUGUGCUGCACUUGCAGGGUCAGAGUUGGUAGCCAUCCCCUGGACAGGGCGCCAUGUCUAGGGCGUGUUGGCGUGCUUGAGCAGACGAUACGCGUAUGUUUGUUGCGAGGUGGAGAAGGAAUACGCCAUGGAUGGAUUUUGAUUGCUUUGAUGACAACAGUUUCAACUUAGUAAGCCAUAUGCUGAUAUUCAUGUGACUGUGAUCUCGGAAAUAAAAGUUCAAAGGAAAGGAACAGAAACCUUCACUAAACAUAGAGUUGUAUUGUACCUGUACUGAGAAAGGUUUGUAGAGUAUGAAAAUAUGUUUCGAGAUGAAACAAAUUAUGAUUAUUAGUCAUGGCAGUUGUAGGAACAGAUAGAGUCAACUAGGUGUUGUAAUGCUGGACUAAGGAUGGACCAUACUCAGAGAAAUCAAAAUAUCUGCGGCCCUCC
rnacentral:rRNA from 1 species